GAUGAACGCUAGCUACAGGCUUAACACAUGCAAGUCGAGGGGAAACGGCAUUAAGUGCUUGCACUUUUUGGACGUCGACCGGCGCACGGGUGAGUAACGCGUAUCCAACCUUCCCAUGACUAAGGGAUAACCUGCCGAAAGGCAGACUAAUACCUUAUGGUCUUCACUGACGGCAUCAGAUGUGAAGUAAAGAUUUAUCGGUUAUGGAUGGGGAUGCGUCUGAUUAGCUUGUUGGCGGGGUAACGGCCCACCAAGGCAACGAUCAGUAGGGGUUCUGAGAGGAAGGUCCCCCACAUUGGAACUGAGACACGGUCCAAACUCCUACGGGAGGCAGCAGUGAGAAAUAUUGGUCAAUGGGCGAGAGCCUGAACCAGCCAAGUAGCGUGCAGGAUGACGGCCCUAUGGGUUGUAAACUGCUUUUGUAUGGGGAUAAAGUCAAUCACGUGUGAUUGUUUGCAGGUACCAUACGAAUAAGGACCGGCUAAUUCCGUG
rnacentral:rRNA from 1 species